rnacentral:tRNA from 1 species
CAGAAAAUAGUUUAAUGUAGGAUACCAGCUUUGGGAGUUGGUGGUGAAGGUUGAAGUCCUUCUUUUCUGA